rnacentral:rRNA from 1 species
ACCAACUACAACCCAAACAUAUUAAUAACCCCUAAAACACUUAACAACAUAACUAAAUCAUUUUUCCCCUUAAGUAUAGGCGAUAGAAAAAGAACUAGGCGCAAUAGAUAAAGUACCGCAAGGGAACGCUGAAAGAGAAAUGAAACAACUCAGUAAAGCAGAAAAAAGCAGAGCUUUGUCCUCGUACCUUUUGCAUCAUGUUUUAGCUAGAGCCCCUCAAGCAAAAAGCAUUUUAGUUUGACCACCCGAAACUAGACGAGCUACUCCAAGACAGCCUACAUAUAGGGCCAACCCGUCUCUGUGGCAAAAGAGUGGGAAGAGCUUCGAGUAGAGGUGAUAGACCUACCGAGCCUGGUUAUAGCUGGUUGCCUGAAAAUUGAAUAGAAGUUCAGCCUCUUGAGUUCUUCCCUCUCUUGUAGAUAUUCUAGACAGAGACACAAAGAAAUUUAGAGAGUUAGACAAAGGGGGUACAGCCCCUUUGUUAUAAGACACAACUUUAUUUAGGAGGAUAAGAAUCAAACUCUACUCAAGGUAAAAUAUUUCGGUGGGCCUAAAAGCAGCCACCCCUGAAGAAAGCGUUAAAGCUCAAAUAUGCACGAUAACCCUUAAUUCUGAUUAUUUUAUUCUACCCCCCUUUCCCUAUCAGGCCUUACCAUAAACUUAUGGAAGCGAUCAUGCUAAUAUGAGUAAUAAGAGAGUCCCGGCUCUCUCCGUACACAAGUGUAACUCGGAACGGACCAACCACCGACCAUUAACGUCCCCAAGAAAAGAGGGAACCGGGCCGUAAACAAAGAACUAGAAAACCGCCCAAAAAUUACCGUUAACCCCACACUGGUGUGCUCACACGGAAAGACCCAAAGAAAAAGAAGGAACUCGGCAAAAAUACUUAAGCCUCGCCUGUUUACCAAAAACAUCGCCUCUUGUUAAACAAAAAUAAGAGGUCCCGCCUGCCCUGUGACUAUUAGUUUAACGGCCGCGGUAUUUUGACCGUGCAAAGGUAGCGCAAUCACUUGUCUUUUAAAUGAAGACCUGUAUGAAUGGCACGACGAGGGCUUAACUGUCUCCUUUUUCCAGUCAGUGAAAUUGAUCUCCCCGUGCAGAAGCGGGGAUAAAACCAUAAGACGAGAAGACCCUGUGGAGCUUUAGACAAUGGGCCAGACCAUGUUAACACCCUCUAUCUAAAGAGAAGAACCAAUUGGACCCUGUCCCAAUGUUUUUGGUUGGGGCGACCGCGGGGAAGCAAAAAUCCCCCAUGUGGAAUGGGAACACCCCUCCUACAACCAAGAGCCACAGCUCUAAGUACCAGAAAUUCUGACCAUUAAGAUCCGGCAACGCCGAUCAACGGAACGAGUUACCCCAGGGAUAACAGCGCAAUCCUCUUUUAGAGCCCAUAUCGACAAGGGGGUUUACGACCUCGAUGUUGGAUCAGGACAUCCUAAUGGUGCAGCCGCUAUUAAGGGUUCGUUUGUUCAACGAUUAAAGUCCUACGUGAUCUGAGUUCAGACCGGAGUAAUCCAGGUCAGUUUCUAUCUAUGUUGUGGUCUCUUCUAGUACGAAAGGACCGAAGAGAAGGGGCCCAUGCUUAAAGUACGCCUCCUCCUAACCUACUGAAGACAACUAAAAUAGGCAAAAGGACAUGUCCUCGUCCGCCUUAGAUAAUGGCAC